rnacentral:lncRNA from 1 species
UUAUUUGUCACACUAUCGAGUCUCUUGGGAGGUCAAACAACUCAUUAGUCUCAACAGAUAUGUUAUUAGUCGCCAAAAGCCAUCUAAGAAUUCUCGGUGAAGACAUUUCUUCUGAAAAAACCUUGAAUUUUUUUUGGAGGGUAGGAAUAACCUCAAAUGUUCAACACUACAUAAAAUAAAGAUAUUAAGAGAGAUAACUUAGAAUAAUG